rfam:Gossypium arboreum cultivar AKA8401 contig_21948_1, whole genome shotgun sequence.
UGUUAAAAAUUUUAUCUAUUUUUACUGUUAAAAACUGGCAUGGUUAAUGGAAUAACCAAACAAUUACAUGUUGCAUGCCACUUGUAUUUUAUGUUGACGUACAUAAACUAAUUUUUAAUUGUAGAAAUAAAUGAAAUUUUUAACA